rnacentral:snRNA from 1 species
UUACUUACCUGGCAGGGGAGAUACCAUGAUCAUGAAGGUGGUUCACCCAGGGUGAGGCCCAGCCAAAUGUGGGAAUCUCGACUGCAUAAUUUCUGGUAGUGGGGGACUGCGUUUGCGCUCUCCCCUG